ACAGGCUUAACACAUGCAAGUCGAGGGGCAGCAUGGUCUUAGCUUGCUAAGACUGAUGGCGACCGGCGCACGGGUGAGUAACACGUAUCCAACCUGCCGUCUACUCUUGGACAGCCUUCUGAAAGGAAGAUUAAUACAAGAUGGCAUCAUGAGUCCGCAUGUUCACAUGAUUAAAGGUAUUCCGGUAGACGAUGGGGAUGCGUUCCAUUAGAUAGUAGGCGGGGUAACGGCCCACCUAGUCUUCGAUGGAUAGGGGUUCUGAGAGGAAGGUCCCCCACAUUGGAACUGAGACACGGUCCAAACUCCUACGGGAGGCAGCAGUGAGGAAUAUUGGUCAAUGGGCGAGAGCCUGAACCAGCCAAGUAGCGUGAAGGAUGACUGCCCUAUGGGUUGUAAACUUCUUUUAUAAAGGAAUAAAGUCGGGUAUGCAUACCCGUUUGCAUGUACUUUAUGAAUAAGGAUCGGCUAACUCCGUGCCAGCAGCCGCGGUAAUACGGAGGAUCCGAGCGUUAUCCGGAUUUACUGGGUUUAAAGGGAGCGUAGAUGGAUGUUUAAGUCAGUUGUGAAAGUUUGCGGCUCAACCGUAAAAUUGCAGUUGAUACUGGAUAUCUUGAGUGCAGUUGAGGCAGGCGGAAUUCGUGGUGUAGCGGUGAAAUGCUUAGAUAUCACGAAGAACUCCGAUUGCGAAGGCAGCCUGCUAAGCUGCAACUGACAUUGAGGCUCGAAAGUGUGGGUAUCAAACAGGAUUAGAUACCCUGGUAGUCCACACGGUAAACGAUGAAUACUCGCUGUUUGCGAUAUACGGCAAGCGGCCAAGCGAAAGCGUUAAGUAUUCCACCUGGGGAGUACGCCGGCAACGGUGAAACUCAAAGGAAUUGACGGGGGCCCGCACAAGCGGAGGAACAUGUGGUUUAAUUCGAUGAUACGCGAGGAACCUUACCCGGGCUUAAAUUGCAGAUGAAUUACGGUGAAAGCCGUAAGCCGCAAGGCAUCUGUGAAGGUGCUGCAUGGUUGUCGUCAGCUCGUGCCGUGAGGUGUCGGCUUAAGUGCCAUAACGAGCGCAACCCUUGUUGUCAGUUACUAACAGGUUCCGCUGAGGACUCUGACAAGACUGCCAUCGUAAGAUGUGAGGAAGGUGGGGAUGACGUCAAAUCAGCACGGCCCUUACGUCCGGGGCUACACACGUGUUACAAUGGGGGGUACAGAGGGCCGCUACCACGCGAGUGGAUGCCAAUCCCCAAAACCUCUCUCAGUUCGGACUGGAGUCUGCAACCCGACUCCACGAAGCUGGAUUCGCUAGUAAUCGCGCAUCAGCCACGGCGCGGUGAAUACGUUCCCGGGCCUUGUACACACCGCCCGUCAAGCCAUGGGAGCCGGGGGUACCUGAAGUGCGUAACCGCGAGGAGCGCCCUAGGGUAAAACUGGUGACUGGGGCUAAGAC
rnacentral:rRNA from 1 species